ACAGUUCCGCCUGCACUGCAGUUUCCUAACCACUUUAAACCUCUUUUUUUUUUCUUUUUUUAAUCUCAGUUUGGUUUGAUUCAGGCAACCUGGAUGAGGGACCCCCUGCGGGGUCAGCCCGACUUGGGUGGGAUUUUGCUAAGGGAGAGGGGAGAAGAUGACGUGCUUGGCGCCAUGAUCGGAAGUCUGGGUUUAAUUCUUUAACUGCGAGGUGGAAGAAUUCCGUGGGAGGGCGAUCUUAAGAGGUGAAGUCUAGCCCUCCCUUCUCCUAGUCUGCAGAAAGGUUGUUCUGAAGGCUGGUUUUGCCGGUCUUUCAUUGUGGCUAAGGGCAGUUCCAGGAUACAUUCAUAAACACACUCCUCGAGCCCUACCGUUCGCUUGCUUAUUCAAGCCUCCUUUUAUCUCUUUAUCUGAACGUGAUGUUAAUAAAUCACAUUCCUUAAACUGGUUUCUGUUAUCAUAGUAAAUAUCUGCUAUAAUUAAGAGUUGUGGUAAUACCUGCCCAGGGCCCUUUUUUAGCUGAAAUAUUUUUAUACUGUUUAUCCUUCAGGCAGAGAUAUUUUUUAUAUACAUAUAAUAAAAUACCUUUUGAAAAAUAAGGAGCAUAUGCAUUAACUCUUUAGCUUGAAUGCCAUAUUUUGUUUUGCCUAAAAGGCCUAAAAUAAGGAACUGGUACUGUUUUAACAUUUAGCUUUCAAGACAUGAGAUCUAGUUGUCAAGGAAAUGACAGAUGUUGAAGGUGCAGGAAGUUUAUUAGCUGAUGAAAUACAAUUUUUCUUCCUCGAAUUGAGGUCAAGUACUUUAUUAUUCAAUUAUUAUUUGCAUAAAAUGUUCCUAAGAAACAUUAAGUACCCUUAUACAUGUUAUAAAUGCAUAAUAAAUUAUGUAGGAAAGAAGUCUUAGGAAAUUCAUGUGGAAAAAGUUCAUGCCACUAACUUAGCUGGAAUCAGCAGACCUCGAUUUGCAUGCAACCCUCAUUCCUUUUCUGUUGCCUUUACAGUCGAGAUGUGACUAUUUCCAGUGAGAAAGAACAUAUAGAAGAAUUAAAACUUAGCAAUACACAAGAAAGGCAAUACUGGUCUAAUUCUGGUGAAAGCAGAACUCAGAGGGCAGUGUGAUCUGGUCUGGUCUCUUUGGUGAUCAAGAUGGGCUGCAUUGUAAUAAUAUUCCACAAAUCCUCAUUAUUAGUUUAUUGAGGCAAAAAUUUAUUUAUCCUGUUUUGUGUUUGAUAGGAGCAUCAGUCAGCCAAUCAUGGGGUUUGUAUGCAGUUUAAGAAUAUCUCUGGACUGGUGAGAUGGCUCCGCGGGAAAGAGCACCGACUGCUCUUCGGAAGAUCAUGAGUUCAAAUCCCAGCAACCACAUGGUGGCUUACAACCACCCAUAAUGAGAUCUGACGCCCUCGUCUGGGACUGACCCCUGAAGCUAAAUUAUCAAGAUUCCUUUGCUUACUGACUUCUAAGUAAGCUGAAGUGGGGUUUGAUGGUUCGAAUGAAAAGUGACCUCCAUAGAGUCUGAUAUUUCAAUCCAGUCAGUGGCACUGUUUGGUGAAGUUUAGGAGGCACAGCCUUGCUGGAGGAAAUCCGUCACUAGUGGAUGGAGGUUGCGAUUAUACAACCUUGCUCCACUUCCAGUUUGAUCUCCUGCUUCGAGCUUGUGGACAGACAUGGCCACCCAGCCUCCUGCUUCUGCCUGCCACAGUGCCUGCCCUUUACUGCAACAUCUCCUCCCCACAAUGGACUCUUCUAUCUCUAGAACCAAACAGUCUGAAUAAACUCUUCUUUUUAUGA